rnacentral:rRNA from 1 species
AUGGCAAGGCUGCCACCGGUCAGCCUUACCAUUGAUUCCUCACGGGCGGCGCGUCACGGGGCGGCGCGCCGACGCCUCCCCUCCCUCGCACGCGUACACACGGGCGCGGCGCGGCUAUAUAAGCCGGUGGCCUUCCUCGCCUCUGGCCACACCAGCCCUAGCCCUAGCAGCCGAGCUCUACCUCUCCCGACAGCCGCCGCCGAGCCCUCCCUCUCCCGAGCGCCGCCGUCGAGCCCUCCCUCUCCCUCCCUCCCUCUCCCGAUGGCCGAGCGAUUCCCCGGAGAUGAGGCGGCGGCCAACGGCUUCGGCCGCCGCUCGCUCCGCGAACAGGAGUCUUGGCUCCUGUUCCAGGCGAACAUCCCGGCGCCGCCGGACAUGCGCGUCGGGCCGACGGGGUGGAGACUGAGCAACGGGGGAGUGCCCAUUCCCCCAUUGCCCGACGCCGUGGCGAAACCGUCGUACUUCGCCGACGAGGUCGAGGUCGUGCGCGCCUCCCUCACCGACGCCCAGCUCGCCCUCCCCGAGUACGCCACCGACAACCAAGCGGCGUGGACGGCAUACUUCCAGCGCCGGCAGCAGCAGAGGAUGGCGUCCACCACCGGCGUCCACCAACGGCGCGCCGGUGGUGGCCGACCUGAAGAACAGCGAGGGACGCCACCUGUGGUGGGGUGUCCCCGGCCGCACCCUCGAGGGCGUUCUGACGUACCUCGAGGGCGCCAACGACCCGCCGUUGGCAUACCCCCCGGCGAGGGCGGCCGCCACGGCCACGGCUCACCGCCGACGCGACGGGCAAUGGUUGCCCAGGAGGUCCGACGCCUCCUCUUCUUCCUCCUCAUCACGCUCUUCUUCGCACUCCUCCGGCUCUCCGGCGCUGCUCGGCGUCAAGGCCGAACCCGCGGCGGAGACGCCGCUCGGCCGGCUCACUCGCAGCGCCGGCAUCGUCAUCAACGAGGGCGGCCGGCGCGCCUCCUCGUCGGCGGCUCCGCGCUUUGUCAAGCCCAAGAUGGAGCCGGGGCUCGCGCCGGUGAAGACGGAGCCGGGCCUCCCCGCGGUGAAGACGGAGCACGGCGGCGACGUCGAGCUCGACGACGACGCGGCCCUGGAAUGGGCGCGCGCGAACUCCCUGAAGAUGGCGAGGGAGCGCCAGUGCGCCGCCCUGCGGCGAUUCGCGCAGCGCCGCCAGGGCCGCGACGAAGGAGGCGUCGUCGUCAUCGAGGACAGCGACGACGACGACGCGCCGCCGCCACCAGUCCGCGUUGGGUCCACCAGGGACGGCCGCGUCAAGGAGGAGAAGCCCGACGACGACGACGGCGGCGAGGAUGGCGGCGACUACUCCGCAUUCAGCCAGUUUCUUUUUUAAUUAGAUAUAUUAUGUAA